rnacentral:lncRNA from 1 species
GAUAGGUUUAGCACUUACGCUAGGUUGUUAAUUUUUUAAAUUACUUACAACCCAGCAUUUAUUCCUGCUUUUUGUAUGACAUAAAACCAACAUUCUUUUGGGGAACCUGCUUUCCUGACUAGUCCAUAUAGUUUAUUUGGAGGUCCACUCUGGCCUUAAAUACUUUAAAAGAUGCUAUUUUAACGUAGUUUGAACUUACAUUUUUCUUAUGAACAGUGAGAUUAUGUAAAUAUUCAUAUGCUUAAGAACAAUGUAUGCGUCCUUUUUCAUAAACCGUUAGUUCAUAUCCUAGCUCCAUUUUGAGAGGGGGUUAUGUGUAUCUCUCUUAAAAUUUUCUAUGAGCUCUCUAUGUAGUUACAAGAAUGACCCAUUUGUCUCACAUAUUGGUUGAAUUGGGCAUUUAUCUGCUCAUUUAAUUAUACCCUAGCUUAAAGCAUUUUUACUCAGUAGAUUUUUUUAAAUAUAGUAAAAUGUUUCCUUUUUGACUUCUAAAUUUUUCAUUAUGGUUAAAGCCUUCCUACUUCUAGAAAUAUAGAGGACUUCUCAGUGUCUUCUUUUAGUACUUACUAUUUUAUUUAUAUAACCUCUUACAAAUUAGUUACCAACAUUUAUUAAUAUUCUUCCCCAAAACUCUAGCCGCAAUGACCUGUUUCUGAAUUCUUAAAGCACAGAUUGAGCAACAUCAUUAUACUUACUUGCUUUUGUAACAAUUUUAUAUUAUAUCGUUUCACGUAUCUUAGGAUCCCUAGCUAAACUAUGAGCUCAGUGACAACACGAAUCACAUUUUCUCUUUUUUUUACACAGAGUCCUAACAAAAUGCUGAACAUAGCAUACAACCUGCUAAGGACCAGAUGUUGACACCUAAGUAUAAAGAUGAUUCCUGGGUGUACAGAGGCCAACAAUGCUGCUAUGGUCUGCAUGUGUCCCCUAAAACAUAUAUACCAAUACUUAAUUGCCAAUGCGAUAGUACUAAGAGGUGGGGCCUUUAGGAGGUGAAGAAGUCAUCAGGGUUCCACCCUCAUGAAUGGGAUCAGUGCCCUUAUAAAAGAGACUUCACACAGUGUUACUCUUUUUGCCUUUCUGUCUUCUACCACCUGAAGGCACAGUGUUCAAAGUGCCAUCUUGGAAGCAUAGACUGGGCCCUCACCAAAUACCAAAUCUGCUGGCACCUUGAAUUUGGACUCCCACCCUCCAAAACUGUAAGCAAU